ACGGAGCGAAGCGACGUCAAAGCGUAUACAAAGUCGAGUCGGUUUAAGGAUACGUUCGUUGGGUAGGGGAGCGUUCUGUAAGCCUGCGAAGGUGGCCUGUGAGGGUUGCUGGAGGUAUCAGAAGUGCGAAUGCUGACAUAAGUAACGAUAAAGCGGGUGAAAAGCCCGCUCGCCGGAAGACCAAGGGUUCCUGUCCAACGUUAAUCGGGGCAGGGUGAGUCGACCCCUAAGGCGAGGCCGAAAGGCGUAGUCGAUGGGAAACGGGUUAAUAUUCCCGUACUUGGUGUUACUGCGAAGGGGGGACGGAGAAGGCUAUGUUGGCCGGGCGACGGUUGUCCCGGUUUAAGCGUGUAGGUGUGUGUUCCAGGUAAAUCCGGUUCACUUUAACACUGAGGCGUGAUGACGAGGCACUACGGUGCUGAAGCAACAAAUGCCCUGCUUCCAGGAAAAGCCUCUAAGCAUCAGGUAACAUCAAAUCGUACCCCAAACCGACACAGGUGGUCAGGUAGAGAAUACCAAGGCGCUUGAGAGAACUCGGGUGAAGGAACUAGGCAAAAUGGUGCCGUAACU
rnacentral:rRNA from 1 species